rnacentral:rRNA from 1 species
AUUGAACGCUGGCGGCAUGCCUAACACAUGCAAGCCGAACGGCAGCACAGUAAAGACUUCGGUCUUUAUGGGUGGCGAGUGGCGGACGGGUGAGUAACGCAUAGGAAUCUGUCCUGGAGGGUGGGACAACCCGAGGAAACUCGGGCUAAUACCGCAUGAUAUCGAGAGAUCAAAAGCAGGGGACCCUUCGGGGCCUUGCGCUCUAGGAUGAGCCUACGUCGGAUUAGCUAGUUGGUGGGGUAAAGGCCUACCAAGGCGACGAUCCGUAGCUGGUCUGAGAGGAUGACCAGCCACACUGGGACUGAGACACGGCCCAGACUCCUACGGGAGGCAGCAGUGGGGAAUCUUGGACAAUGGGGGAAACCCUGAUCCAGCGAUGCCGCGUGUGUGAAGAAGGCCUUCGGGUUGUAAAGCACUUUAGUUGGGGAAGAAAAGUAAUAAGUAAAUAACUUAUUGCUCUGACGGUACCCAAAGAAUAAGCACCGGCUAACUCUGUGCCAGCCGCCGCAGUAA